AUUGAACGCUGGCGGCAUGCCUUACACAUGCAAGUCGAACGGCAGCGGACCUUCGGGUGCCGGCGAGUGGCGAACGGGUGAGUAAUAUAUCGGAACGUACCUUUCAGUGGGGGAGUAACGUAGCGAAAGUUACGCUAAUACCGCAUAUUCUGUGAGCAGGAAAGCAGGGGAUCGCAAGACCUUGCGCUGAUUGAGCGGCCGAUAUCAGAUUAGCUAGUUGGUGAGGUAAAGGACUCACCAAGGCGACGAUCUGCAGCGGGUCUGAGAGGAUGAUCCGCCACACUGGAACUGAGACACGGUCCAGACUCCUACGGGAGGCAGCAGUGGGGAAUUUUGGACAAUGGGCGCAAGCCUGAUCCAGCCAUGCCGCGUGAGUGAAGAAGGCCUCGGUUGUAAG
rnacentral:rRNA from 1 species